GAUGAACGCUGGCGGCGUGCUUAACACAUGCAAGUCGAACGCUGGAGCUUGGUGCUUGCUCUGGGUGGAUGAGUGGCGGACGGGUGAGUAAUACGUGAGUAACCUGCCCUUGACACUGGGAUAAGCCUGGGAAACUGGGUCUAAUACUGGAUACGACAUGUCACCGCAUGGUGGUGUGUGGAAAGGGUUUUAGUGGUUUUGGUUUGGAUGACGGCCUAUCAGCUUGUUGGGGGGGUAAGGGCUCACCAUGGCGACGACAGGUAGCCUACCUGAGAGGGUGGGCGGGCACACUGGGACUGAGACAAGGUCCAGAUACGAACGGGAGGCAAUAGGCGGGAAUAUUGCAGAAUGGGCGGAAGCCUGAGGCAGCGACGCCGCGUGAGGGAUGACGGCUUUCGGGUUGUAAACCUCUUUCAGAACGGAAGAAUCGAGAGUGACGGUACCUAAAGAAGAAGCGACGGCUAACUACGUG
rnacentral:rRNA from 1 species